CCCAAUCCGACGCCGCCCGGAAGCUUUAAAUUAUAAUUUAAGUGUUUGCAAAUUCGAACAUAAUUAUUCCAGUUCAUUUCGAUCUGAUAUUUUGCGAUUGUGGAACAAUAUUUUUCAAUCCAAAUUCCAAAAUUCCGACAUCCACUUUUAUUUUUUAUGAAAUUAUUUGGAUCGUGAGAUUCCGAUUUUCAAUCUAAUUUUAAUUUUUGAACAUUAAGUUUUUUUUUUUUCCGAAUAUUAAAUUUGAAAUACUAGUAGUAUUAUGUAUUUUAUAUUUCAAGUAACCAAGAAUUGAAAAUUCCCAAACUACACGGAUUCCAAUCAGAAAUUUUACGAUUUUGGAACAAAUUUUUUCACUUCAGUUUUCUUUAUUUUCCGUUUUUUCAGGAACAAAGUUGAAACUAGUUUUUCACUUCUAAAAAAAAUCAAUUGUUCUGCGGAAAAGGCUAAUUCGAUCCGUAUGUCCGAUUUAAACCCCUAUUCGAGGCAAAAGUAGGACCAUGUACUUAUCUCAACAUUUGGUCAAAUUUGAAAAUAGUAUAAGUCAAUGGUUGGAUAGAGUUAUAUAGUAAUUGAAAUCUA
rnacentral:lncRNA from 1 species